AGAGUUUGAUCAUGGCUCAGAAUCAACGCUGGCGGCGCGCCUAACACAUGCAAGUCGAACGAGAAAGUGGAGCAAUCCAUGAGUAAAGUGGCGUACGGGUGAGUAACACGUGGAUCAUCUGCCCUUUAGUGGGGAAUACCGUUGGGAAACCGACGACAAUACCGCAUAAGCUCGAGAGAGGAAAGCAGAAAUGCGCUGAAGGAGGAGUCCGCGGUCGAUUAGCUAGUUGGUAGGGUAAUGGCCUACCAAGGCUGUGAUCGAUAGCCGGCCUGAGAGGGCACACGGCCACACUGGCACUGAAACACGGGCCAGACUCCUACGGGAGGCAGCAGUGGGGAAUCUUGCACAAUGGGGGAAACCCUGAUGCAGCGACGCCGCGUGAGCGAUGAAGCCCUUCGGGGUGUAAAGCUCUUUCGGCAGGGAAGAUUAUGACGGUACCUGCAGAAGCAGCUGCGGCUAACUACGUGCCAGCAGCCGCGGUAAUACGUAGGCAGCAAGCGUUGUUCGGAGUUACUGGGCGUAAAGGGUGCGUAGGCGGCUCUAUAAGUAUGGUGUGAAAUCUCCCGGCUUAACUGGGAGGGUGCGCUAUAGACUGUGGGGCUAGAGUGUGGGAGAGGAAAGUGGAAUUCCUGGUGUAGCGGUGAAAUGCGUAGAUAUCAGGAGGAACACCGGUGGUGUAAACGGCUUUCUGGACCAUAACUGACGCUGAGGAGCGAAAGCGUGGGGAGCGAACAGGAUUAGAUACCCUAGUAGUCC
rnacentral:rRNA from 1 species